UGUGUAGGCGGAAAUGUAAGCGUUGUGUGAAAGCCCCCGGCUUAACCGGGGAACUGCACAACGAACUGCGUUUCUUGAGGCAAGUAGGGGUACAUGGAACUCUUGGUGGAGCGGUGGAAUGCGUAGAUAUCAAGAGGAACGCCAGUGGAGAAAUCGGUGUACUGGGCUUGUACUGACGCUGAGACACGAAAGCGUGGGGAGCGAACAGGAUUAGAUACCCUGGUAGUCC
rnacentral:rRNA from 1 species